rnacentral:misc_RNA from 1 species
CAACCCUCAAGCCCCAGUUGCUUGGUGUUGGGAGCCUGCACCCCCCCGGGGGCUGCAGCUCCUCAAAGCUAUUGGCGGAGUCGUAUUGGCCCUAAGCGUAGUAAUGUUUUCCUCGCUUCUAGUGGUUCCAGUGCUGGCGUCCAGCCGUAAAACCCCUAAUUUUCUAGU